rnacentral:rRNA from 1 species
UGCGUAGGCGGCCUAUUAAGUCAGGGGUGAAAGACGGUAGCUUAACUAUCGCAGUGCCUUUGAUACUGAUGGGCUUGAAUGUACUUGAGGUAGGCGGAAUGUGACAAGUAGCGGUGAAAUGCAUAGAUAUGUCACAGAACACCAAUUGCGAAGGCAGCUUACUAAAGUAUGAUUGACGCUGAGGCACGAAAGCGUGGGGAUCAAACAGGAUUAGAUACCCUGGUAGUCCACGCCCUAAACGAUGAACACUCGAUGUUGGCGAUAUACGGUCAGCGUCUAAGCGAAAGCGUUAAGUGUUCCACCUGGGGAGUACGCCCGCAAGGGUGAA